CAGACAGUGGCACCACUGAGCUAAAUCCCCGGCCCAGAUUGGGUGUCCUUCCACCUGGCUAUGAGCAGGAAAUCCUUUAUUCUCUCCAUUUUUCAAGGCAUGGCAACAAGGAGCUCAGAGGGCGAGGACCUCUCUACAGGCAGUGGCGAGAAGUGAGAACAAUGGAAAAGAAGCGAGAACGCCUGCACCUGGAUUAGAGUACGGAGCCCCAGGCAGCCACCGGUUCAGUCCUAGGAGGAACAGUCUGCUUCACCAGGAAGAAGCAGUUCUCAUGAUCAUCAUCACUGCCAAGUUCUUGACACUCUUUGAAACAAGAUGGUGAACUAAGUCUGCUAUAGAUCAGAAUUCACUAAGAGAGCAAAGUGAAUUAAUUCCACAGUAUUUAUUCAACAUAAGCUUAUGCUAAGAAUGGAACUAAGUAGGCACAGGGAAUGCAUAUGUAAUGGACACACACUUAUGUCCUAAGGAGGGAGCUGCAUUAAACACACUCCCACUGACAAGGGUCCAAUUGCAGCUGAGACAGUGACCACAGGGAGGUGCUAGUGCCUGGAGCAACUAUGACCCCUAAACUGCUCUCCUACUGGGUUGGAGCUUUGUACAUCUGGUCUUGUAAAAGUGUUUCCCUUCCCAGAAGGCCCUUCCUCCUUAACUUGACUUGGAUUCAGAAUCCUACUCUGUCCACUUCCCACUGAAAGUCUCCCUGAUUGGAGCCACCUCCCCCACCGUAUCUCUGUCAUCCUGAUCUCACCUUAAAGAUCAGGGGCUCACUGGUCAUUGUAUUAGCCUUGCUUCUUCAGAGAAAUAGACCAAUUUUAUACAUAGUUGGGUGGGAGAGAUUUUGAGGAAUUGACUCACAAAAGUGCUAGUCCAAAAAUCUUCAGGAUAGGGCUGGAGACCCAAGGAAGAGCCCAAAGGCAGUAUUCCGGCAGAUUCCUUGUUGCACAGAGGUCAGUCUUUGUGCUAUUAAAGGCCUUCAGCUGAUUGCAUGAGGCCUAACCCUAUUACAGAAGGCAUUUUACUUUACUCAACAUCCACAAACUUAUAUGUUAAUCUCAUCCCCCUCCCCAAAUAGCCAUAAAAGAAAUAUCCAAAAUAAUAUUUGAAUAUUUGGCACAGCCAAACUGACACAUAAAAUUAAUCCUCACUUCAGUUUUAACUCACUAGCUCGAGUCUACCAUCUUGGAAUGUGUGGAUCAGCUCUGAUAUGACCUGAAACCUUCCUAAUUCAAGGAUUAUUGGAAGGGGGUGUUCAAUAAACUCCUUGAGAGUAAAAGAACAGACAGUGAGGUUUGCAAGACCCUCUGAAAGCAACUUUGCAUAGUUUCUAUAUUUUGAGUACUUUAUAAACCAUAGAGGAUGCAACACCAAUACCUACUUAAAUCCCAUCAUAAAAACCACCUGACAACAGAGACACCCCCCCUCAACAAAAAAACCACAACCCUGAUUCUGUCUCCACCCUGAAAACAAAUCUUUGGCCAUAUUUGACCUCCUAAGAUAACAGAUUCAGACUGAAAUGCAUGUCCAUUUGACUUUGAACUUAACCCUAGCCAGUGAAGAAACGACAAAAAAAAUGACACAAAAGAAUGUCAUGUCCUAGAGAGAAAUCCCUAACUCAUAUCACUGACCAUCACUCUAUGGCAAUUUUCUCCCAAGCCUAUUCUUAAUGCAUUCAACAAACUGCUAAUCUUAUUCCUAUCUACAGUCAUGUUUAAAACAACCCCCUAGAGGUAAACCAGACUCAAAAGAGGGGCCUAAUGGUUUCGCAGACAUUUCAUAUUCCAAGCUCAAAUUUGCAAUGCUAAACCUAGAAUUUAAUCUCCAGGCUUUUCUCUUAGUUUCAGAGCUGACUGCUGCUUAGGCAGGAAGAGGAGGAGAGGCUUGGAUGAAAAAUCCCAGGCAACUGGAACAGAGGCUAAACACCUCAGGCUAUUUUUCAAUGCCCCUAUCCCUGUCUUUGUGUACCCCACAAUUACCUGGUGGCUUUGUUUUAUUCCCUCUUCCCCAUCUAUAAAAAUCCUUUUUAUUCCUCUUCAGUCUCAGAAAAAAUGGGCAAAGGAUAGGUACAGACUGUUCACAGGAAGUUCCAAAUGUCUUUUAAGCACAUGAAAAGAUGUCCAUUUAUACUCAUGAUAAUGGAAAUGCAAAUUAACAGCACAAAAGGAAGAUAUCAGAUUGGCAAAGAUCAGGCUGUCAGCUAGUGUGGCCCAGUAAAAUCAUGGGGCACAUGCACUCUGAGCACUGUUGGUGGAGGGAUGGCCUUCCCUAAUCAACUUGGAGAGGAAUUUAGCAAACUUUUACGUUAUUUUAUCUUUUUGCUAUAAAGUGGGUUUAUUGGUAAUAGCCUUAUGAAAUUUAUUCCAAAAUAUUUGAGGUUACAAACUUUAGGGUCUUUGAGAUAUGCAGGAUACUUAUAUGUGACUGGCAUUAACCCCAUUAUUUGAGCUCUCUUAAUUGCUUUUGAAAUUUCUUUCUGUCUCUUCCCACAAGGACCUGUUAUAUGUCUCCCAUGAAAGCAUCCAGUAUAGAGCUGGGUGUGGUGGUGCACGCCUGUAAUCCCAGCACUUGGGAGGCUGAGGCAGGAGGAU